GGGCCAGCUUUCAUGUUUCCUGUGAAGCGGCCAGCCAACCCAAACUUAGGUCGUCCAACACAAAUCUGGGGACAUAUAGACAAAAACAGGCUUGGUUUCUUCCUUGACCAAACCUUGCCACAACACAGGGCCAGGGUGAGGUUAGCCUGACAUCUCUUGGUGUGAUUCUGAUGGGCAGUCUCCCCUCCUUCACAGUGGGACUUAAACUUCAGGACCCCAACCCCCUGACUGUCAAAUAUCCCUACAAUCACUAACUGCUCAUUCUUCUUGUGAAUUCUACAUAGGGGUGCUUAGCACACUACUUGUGUGAUUUGUGUGUGUAUGUGUGUGUGCACGUGUGUGUGUGUGUACGCAUGCAUGUGUGGGCACUUAGGCAUGUGGAAGCCUGAGAUGAAUGGCUGGUGUUUCCUUCAAUUGCUCCCCACCUUACCAUUUCAGACUGGACCUUUCAUUGAACUCAGAGCCCACUGACUGGCCAAAACUGAUGACCACUGAGCAAUGCAGAGUCUGUUGUCUCUGCUCCCCUCCCCCAAUUCCCUCCUCCUGAACCAGGGUUACAGAGUAGUUGAUUGAACGCGGGCCUUUGAACAUUCUAGACAAGAAAUCUGCACCGAGCCCCAGUUUCAUUUGCUCCUGUAAAGACCUGAGUAGGCACCAGCCAUCUACGGGGACUUAGCAGAUACUGCAGAAUGACUUCCUUCCUUUUAUACACAUGUGGAUAUGCGUACAGCCCAGGGGCUCUGAGGAUUGAAAACAUGAACGACUUUUGCCAUCCUUGGUGCUGAAGCAACUCUUGACUGAUCCCUUCUCCAGAGACUUGCUACCCAGGGUUGGGGUGGGGUGUACACCACCUCCGUGCAAUCGACUCCCGAGGCUCUUUGGACAGACGGAGAGCAAUUUCUAACAAAUUAAGCAAUGUCGUCACAAUCCUUCUGGCACUCUCCCUGAACACCUGCUUCACCCAGAGCAAAAGGCAAAGUCCACUGUACUGGCUGGUUUUGCAUCAACUUGGCACAAGCUAGAGGCAGAGAGGAAGGCGCCUCAGCUGAGGAAAUGCCUCCAUGAGAUCGAGCUGUCAGGCAUUUUCUCAAUGAGUGAUCAGUGUGUGUGUGUGGGGGGGGGGGGAGGUCACUGUGGGUGGAGCCAUCCCUGGGCUGGUGGUCCUGAGUUCUAUAAGAAAGCAGGCUGAGCAAGCCAUGAGGAGCAGCACCACCCCAUGGCCUCUGCAUCAGCUCCUGCCACCAGGUUCCUGUCCUGACUUCUUUUGGUGAUGAACAACAAUGUGAAAGUGUAAGCUGAAUAAACCCUUUCCCC